UGAGGUAUGCUAGUGCUGGGCUUUACAAAUGGCCCAAGGUUAAGAGUCCAAGUCUAAAUUUAUCAGCAGCUGGAAAUCGCCGACACGCACUCGAGCGUAUUUCUUCUCACAGUAACCAGUCUUCGGCCGCCGACGAUGGCUGAAGCAACCGCCGACGACCAGUUAGUGCAGCAACAGCAGCCUCCGCCGAAACCGCGGCCGAAGCGCUUCGUAAAGAACCAAGUCCCCGACUCAAUCCUCAACGACGCGGCGCUCAACGCCGCUAUCUCCCUCCUCCCGGCCAACUACAACUUCGAGAUCCACAAAAUCAUCUGGCGCGUGCGCUCCUCGAACGCCACCCGCGUCGCUCUCCAGUUCCCGGAGGGCCUCCUCAUGUACUCACUCGUCAUCUCCGACAUACUCACCACCUUCGCCUCCGUCGCGCACUGCUUCAUCCUAGGCGACGUCACCUACGGCGCCUGCUGCGUCGACGACCUUUCCGCGCGCGCGCUCGACGUGCACCUGCUCGUGCACUUCGGCCACAGCUGCCUCGUCCCCAUCGAUUGCACCACCGUUCCUGUGCUCUACAUCUUCGUCGAGAUCGCCAUCAACACGCGGAAGCUCCUGCACGAGCUGAGUUACAAUUUUAGCCCUAAUCAGAUCAGUAAUUUCGUCAUGGCUGGAACUAUUCAAUUUUCGAACGCGAUCCGCGCGGUGAAGCCGGAGCUGGAGAAUUUAGGGUUCAGGGUUUUAAUUCCCCAGUCGAAGCCCCUUUCUGCGGGGGAAGUCCUCGGGUGCACUGCGCCAAGCGUGAAAUUACAUGAUUCUGCGGGGAAGGACAAUGUGAUUAUCUUUGUGGCGGAUGGAAGGUUCCAUUUGGAGGCGUUUAUGAUUGCGAAUCCGGAUAUUAAGGCGUUUAGGUAUGAUCCUUAUUUGGGGAAGUUGUUCUUGGAGGAGUAUGAUCAUGAGGGGAUGAAGGGGAAUAGGAGAAAUGCGAUAGAGAGGGCGAAAGGGGCGGAAACGUGGGGUAUUGUGUUGGGGACCUUAGGCAGGCAAGGGAAUCCUGUGGUGUUGAACAGGUUGGAAGGGAAAAUGAGGGAUAAAGGAUUGGAUUAUAUGGUGGUUUUGAUAUCCGAAUUGUCGCCUAAGAAGAUUGAGCUGUUUGGCGAUGCAGUGGAUGCUUGGGUUCAGAUUGCGUGCCCCAGAUUGUCUAUUGAUUGGGGUGAUGCGUUUAAGAAGCCGUUGCUGACAUCCUUCGAGGCUGAGAUUGCACUCGGGGAUUUGGCCGGGUGGUGGGAGAGGAAACCAGUAUGUAAUGAUAGUUUGGAAGGGGCCAUGAAGGAAGGUUGUUGUGGAAAUGACAACGGGCAAAAGGGUGUGGAUUAUCCGAUGGAUUAUUAUGCGCAGGAUGGAGGGGAGUGGAAUUCUUCUUACUCAAAGAAGCCUGCUCGUGGGAAAAAAGAUCAGUGCUGCAAUGGUAGUAGUGUGAGAUGUUAAAGAUUUGGAUGAGAUUAAAGAUAACAUUACAUGUCAUAGUUAUACCCAGUUUUUAGUUUAGGGGGAGGAUGAAACAAUGCUCCAGUUCUGUACAAGGCUAUUUUCAUAAUGUUCCGUAACCAAGGGCGUCGCCACUAUCAUGGUCUCCUACUCCAGCUUCAACGGAGACAAGAUGCAGCUAACACAAAUCUCAUCACUGGUUUUCUCAAGAAAACUCUAUGCUUCAGAGGAUUUGUCAUCUCGGAUUAUAAGGACAUAGACCUAAUAACUGAUCCGCCUCAUGCCAACUACACAUAUUCGAUUCUAGCAGGAAU